CUCCCCUGCACCCGGUCGUGCAGCGCUGGGGAAAGAGGAAGGGCGGGCAUCCCGAGCGGAAUCUCCGUGAUUUGCCCGCGGAGACAGCACAGACCAGACCGCAGGAGCGCCAGCCUUUCCGUGCACGCUGCCGCGACAGUGGAUCCUGAGAGCCAAAAAAGCAGUGCCCGUUUAGGCUUCAUCACAGGAAGACAGCAUUCAGAACGAGGAGGAAAUGUCCGUGGCACAUGUACUCAGCACAGCCAGUUACCUCCACUGCUUCUCCCAGUUCUGACACUACCACAGUCCCAGUUAAGGACAUUGAUAAGCUGGAGCACAACCUAGGAAGGCUGACCAGGAGGGAGAAGAGCGGAGGGGAGCAGGCCGCCAUACUUUGGCCAGUCGAAGCUUCAUUCUCCUUCCUCCUAGUCCUUUCCUCUCUGAGCCACCACGUGGAAGAACCAGAACUGAAGAACAGACAUGGCCACAAAGCCUGGGUUGGCAUCCAGACCACCACUUGCUGACGAUGCGUUUGGGUACAUUACUCCGUCUCUCCAGCCUUCAUUCCUUAGCCUGUAAAAUGGGGAGGGAUGUUGGUCCCUGAUCCUUUCCAACUCUAAGGUUCUAUAGCUUUUCAAUGAAAUUGUUGUGGAGAGGAAGACAUAAGGCUUCCCUAUCGAUUGGAAUAUUUACACCAACCUACCACAAGGAAUAUUUCAUGAUACUAAGCCAUGUGAACAUGAAGAACAAGGUUAACUUGCUGAAGCAAUUUUAGGUUGGUUUUCCUCUUACUAGCUGAAAAAUCGACCCAGAUGUUUACCAAUAGGAUCGAUGGAUACAAAUAUCAAGUCAUACCUAUAUACUUAAGCAUUAAGCUCCAAAGAAAAUGACUUAUUAGAUACUCAAUAACGUUUGUUGAGGAAGGUAGAGGAAGAGACUCUCUGAAAGACUUAAGUAUUUAAGUACUAUUUAAGAAUCAGACUAUAGAUGAAAUAAGUCCCAGCAACGAUUUGCGUACAUUGAAGUAGACUUACUCAAAAUAAUGUGCGUUUGGGAUAUUGUAGCAGAGAUGGGUAACUUUGACCUUAGGAGAAAAAUGAUUAAGUCUAUCGUUUACUAUUAUAUCCCCAUCUCUAGUGCCCAGAACAGGGGCACGUAGUGAUUAAAUGUGUGAUGACUAAUUGAAUGAAUGAAUAAAUAACAAAUCUGGAUGGAUGAUGGAUGGAUGAAUCAUUUAACCAUGAAUGAAUAAAUCAAGCAUUCAUGUGAAAGCUAUAAUGGUUUGGAAAAAAAUAACACUAAACAUUUGUGGAAAAGGUUCACAUGUUAACUAGUAUUUGUUUCUGGAUAUUUAAAGUAAAAGGAUAACUGGAGGUAUUCAAGAAUCAACAGAUUGGGCAGCUACUUGGCAGGUGUGUGAGACGGGAUAAAGAAGGUUCAGCUUGGAAAGGUGAUUGGACUAGUUUUGUCUUGAUAUUCUCUGAUCUUUUAAAUAAAGUGAUUAAUAAAGUUAAGGAUCCUAUAGUUGGCUAUUUUAACAAUUAUCUUUAGGUUUUCAAGUUAUAAUUUUAAGAAGUAAAAAACAUAUGAGAUGAAAAAUCUCUAUCUUUAAAUAGUGUCCAUAUUACACACCAAAGUAAUCAUAAAUUAAGUACAUAUAAUUAUAGGCAAGGUACCUUGCAGGAACUAAUCAGCUUCUAGAUUCUGCGCUUGCAAACCUAAACACAUACAGAGAUAAUAAUACCAUUUGUUAUGACAUUGUGAAAAAUAUUUGGUUUUGAUAUUAUAUUUAAGAAAGACUUAGAUCUUAUAUGAAAAAUUUCAGAGGAUGAGGAGGAAAAUAUACAUUGAUAUCCAUUCAUUUCACUAAGGAAAAAUUCUAAAUAUUAAUUUUGUUCAUCUUCAAAAGAUUGAAAGAUGGAAUGGGAAAUUGGCUUAGAGAAAUAAGAUAACACAAAGUCCACAGAUUGAAUAGUUUUCCAAGAAGUGAUUCUAUUAAAUAUAUACAUACAUAUAUAUAUAUAUAUAUGGCAUAUAUAUAUAUGUGUAUGUAUAUGUCUUAAAUAGUACAUACUUUUUGCCACAUCUCUGAACAAUAGAAGAGAUGCUAUGGAGAGGUAGACUAGUUGCCUAGCAACCUGAAAUUAGUGAGACAUGUCCCCUUUGGUUUACUUGAUUUAAAUCAAGAUUUUCAAGAGCAACUAUGAGAUAAAUGACAAAAAUGUAAAAACUCAUAAUGCUAGCACCACACAAUGUAUAUCAAAUCAUCAAAUUGUAUACCUUACAUAUAUGCAACUCUUCAUGGUCAAAUAUUCUAUAUAAUAAAAACUUAAUAUGCAAAU